rnacentral:lncRNA from 1 species
AGCAAUCUUCAUCGCUGAUUACAUUCAAGCGGUGAGAGGGGAUGACAGUUUGCGUGACUUUUGCUACAUCUUCAUUCCGUGUUGUCACGACAAUCUUACUUCCAGGCUCUGCAUACUGCAAAGGUAGCAGUAAUUUAACCCAUUCAUUGUACACAAUGUUCCACGCAUCAUCUAGAACAAGUAGAAGUUUUUUCCCUUUCAAUGCCUCCAUUAGAGAUUCAUCUGGUUCUUUGGUGCCGCAAGUACCUGCGUUGAUCUUCUUAAGAAUAUCAUCAACUAUCCUGGUGACGUCAAAUUGUUGAGAAGCCCAGACCCAGGCUUUGAGCUCGAAGCACUCAUCUACCCUUCUGUCUUUGUAGAUAAGCUGAGCAAGAGUGGUUUUACCAACCCCUCCCAUGCCCACAAUAGGAAUCACACCUACAUUUGCACCAUUUGUAUUGUUUUUUGUCAACAAGUACUUCAUUAUGGCUUCCUUAUCAGCUUCCCUUCCAUAUACAUGAGAUUCAUCAACCACAGGAGUUGUUUUCUCUGACAAUGGUCUCCAUCCACCAGUACCUUCUAUGUGCGCAGAUCACCCUUGUGUUUAACUAAACGUUCAAGCUUCUCAUAGAUCUUUUGCAACUCUGCUUCCAUCUCUUUCAUCCUUUUAUUAGCUGGAUUAAGAAUUGGAAACAAAUUCCUUACCUGCAAUGGCGGAACAUAUCCAUGUAUAUGAGAUAGAAUUUAGGAACAUAUAAAUACUAAAAUUAUUAAACUCGUACCGAGUAAGUUAACACACAGAUGCAAUGAUGUUUUGUUUAUAAAAAAUUAAAAAAAAAUUAAAAUGAGAUUAUUUUCUUAAAAAAAUUAAGUCUAACCAAGAUUCUAAUGAGAUGAUAGGAUGGUGAAUUAACCCUCCAGGUUACUAAAAUUUGAAAGAUAAAUUCAGCAAUUAGCACAGUAAACAUAAAAAAGUGAUGCAAUGAUAUCGUUUGAAAAAACUUUUGAAAAAUAGUAUAUUUUCACCUUAUCACACCUAAGAAAAGCAAUAUUUACUAAAUUUUAUUAUUACUAAGCAUAACAAGAUAGUUGUCGUACUUUGAAUAGCAACAUUUAGUAAAUGUUGUGCUUUUAAAGAGCGACAAGGUGAAACUUCAAUCAUCUGACUCAAUUAAUUGACCUGUUCAUAAUGGUUAGUGAAAUCGAUCGACCGAUUAAAAUAUAAGAAAAAUCUCAAAAAUAUCAAAAUCAAGGGGCCUCGAUGAGAUUUUUGAUAUCUAGAGAUUUGAUAGUUUACAUAACGACAUAUUGGCUACAAUAGGGAAGAUGAUUUUUGAAAACUUCUAUAUAAGUUUGAGUGCGAUUUAACAGUCUAAUAAACAAUUAUAGCUUUUUUAGUCGUUAUUCUGGUCUGUCGGAACCAGAUCUCCUCUUGAGCCUUAAACUAUCUCCUCUUUGCACUUAAUUAAAUCCUUCAAUUUAAUCUAAAUUAAUUCUUAAACAUAAUUAAAAUUUAAUUUGGCCCAUGAUUAAAUCAAAUUGGCUCAUUAAAAAUUUAAUUACGUCAUUGGACUUAAUUUGUAUGCAAAUUCAUCCAAUAAUCAUUUAAUUUGACCUUCGAAUUUGCAUUUAAUUUGACCUUCGAUUUUUGUCUAUUUUUGCAGUCUUUUUUAUCAGCUUUUUCCAUAUUGCCAGCCUUUAUUUUAUUUAUUUUAUUUUUAUUUUUUUAAAAAAAGUGAAUUUUGAAGAAUAACCCAGAAUUGAGUUAUGACAAUCUUGAAAAAUUGCAUGAUGGAUUGAGGGUUAUGAACCGUUCAAAAACUAGACUCAAAUUCUCUGUGCAAUAUAAGAAUCUAAAGCUCGUAGAAAGAAGUAGGAAAAAAUAGCUAGAAAAGUAAGAGAAUGAAGGCAAAAAAAGUUGACAAGAUCUCUGUAAUAGCUCUGGAUCUAUUGCUUGGACCAAGGAUUAAAUAUAACAUUAUAGAUAAUCAUUGUGUCUGCUUCUACCAUUUCUUUUCACUUCUUCUUAAAGGUUAAAAGGCUAAAGGUGCAACUAGGGGUGAGCAAAGAAACCGAAAAACUGAUUAAACCGAGAAAACUGGAAAAAAUAUAACCGAAAAAACCGAAUCUAAAAAAAAAACCGAUCAAACCGAUUAGAAAAAUUAAAAAACAAGCCGGUUCGGUUCGGUUUCGGUUUUAAAAAGCUAAAACCGAAUAAACCGAACCGAACUGAACCGGUUCAAGUAAAAAAAAGUAAUAGUACUAUAAAUACCUACUUUUCAGCUUUCCCCUUCUCCUUUCUAAACCCUAGCUGCCACCCAUGUUUCAUAAUCUUCACCUCUCAACUCAGCCCCUACCCCAUCUUCACUCUCAACCUUGCCCCCACCCCCAUCUUCAUUGUCAACCUUUAUCGCCCAUGUUUCUCAAUCUUCAUCUCUCAGCCAUAGUUAUUAAACCCGGCCCGGCCCGGCGGGUCGACCCGGGACCCGGUCGACCCGGUGGCUGGACCGGUUCGGGUUUAAUAAAAGACCGGCUGUGGCAACAGCCCGGCCAAACCCGGGCGACCCGGGCAAACCCGGACGAGACCCGGGUUUUUUUUUUUUUUUUAAAUUUGGGAUAAAAAAAAUUUGGUUUAAAUAUUUCAACUUAAAAUGAUAACAUAGUAUCUUUUCAAUGUGGGGUUUGAAGCCCUUUCAUAUAUAUACUCUAUGUUCACAUGAAAAAAAUUAUAUUUUUUCAAUGUGGGAUUUAAAACCCAUUAGUAUAUAUACUCUAUGUUCCCAAGGAAAAAAUCAUGUUUUUUCAAUGUGGGAUAAAAAACCUUUUGGUUUAAAUACUUCAACUUAAAGGGAUAACAUAGUAUCUUUUCAAUGUGGGAUUUGAAGCCCUUUCAUAUAUAUACUCUAUGUUCCCAUGAAAAAAGUUAUGUUUUUUCAAUGUGGGAUUUGAAACCCAUUAGUAUAUAUACUCUAUGUUCCCAAGGAAAAAUUCAUGUUUUUCCAAUGUGGGAUAAAAAACCUUUUGGUUUAAAUACUUCAACUUAAAGGGAUAACAUAGUAUCUUUUCAAUGUGGGAUUUGAAGCCCUUUCAUAUAUAUACUCUAUGUUCCCAUGAAAAAAGUUAUGUUUUUUCAAUGUGGGAUUUGAAACCCAUUAGUAUAUAUACUCUAUGUUCCCAAGGAAAAAAUCAUGUUUUUCCAAUGUGGGAUAAAAAACCUUUUGGUUUAAAUACUUCAACUUAAAGGGAUAACAUAGUAUCUUUUCAAUGUGGGAUUUGAAGCCCUUUCAUAUAUAUACUCUAUGUUCCCAUGAAAAAAGUUAUGUUUUUUAAACCAAAAUGUUUUUUAUCCCACAUUGAAAAAACAUGAUUUUUUCUUUAGGAACAUAGAGUAUAUAUACUAAUGGGUUUCAAAUCCCACAUCGAAAAAACAUAACUUUUUUCAUGGGAACAUAGAGUAUAUAUAUGAAAGGGCUUCAAAUCCCACAUUGAAAAGAUAUUAUGUUAUCCCUUUAAGUUGAAGUAUUUAAACCAAAAGGUUUUUUUAUCCCACAUUGGAAAAACAUGAUUUUUUCCUUGGGAACAUAGAGUAUAUAUACUAAUGGGUUUCAAAUCCCACAUUGAAAAAACAUAACUUUUUUCAUGGGAACAUAGAGUAUAUAUAUGAAAGGGCUUCAAAUCCCACAUUGAAAAGAUACUAUGUUAUCCCUUUAAGUUGAAGUAUUUAAACCAAAAGGUUUUUUAUCCCACAUUGAAAAAACAUGAUUUUUUCCUUGGGAACAUAGAGUAUAUAUACUAAUGGGUUUCAAAUCCCACAUUGAAAAAAUAUAAUUCAACUUAAAAUACUUCAACUUAAAAGCUUAACAUAAUAUCUUUUUAACGUGGGAUAAAAAACUUUUUAAAAUAUUAUUUUAAACUUGAUUAUUUAUAAUAUAUAUAAUCUAUAUUUACAUGAAUUUUUUCAUAUGAAAUAUUAAUUUUUUUUUAAUUAUUACGGGUUAAUCCGGGUCAACCCGGGUUGACCCAUGAAACCCGAGACCCAGCCCCUUGGCCGGGUCAACCCCCGGGCCGGGUUUAAUAACUAUGCUCUCAGCACAGCCCCCCCUCCCAUCUUCAUCUCUCAUCCCUCAACCUUUCUCACAACCCGCCAUCACAGCCCCCCAUCUUCAUCUCUUAUCUCUCAACAUUUCUCACAAACCCCCCUCAACAUCUUCAUCUCUCAUCUCUCUCAACCUUUCUUUAAGGCUUCAAGCAUAAUUUUUUUGUCCUUUUCUUUAAGCAUAGUCGACUAAGCUCCAUGGAUUAACAACCAAAUAGCAGCUCUAGAGCCUCCCUCUCUUCAAUCUUUAUCUCUUAAUUUUUGUCCCUGUUUAUUUUUUUUUCUGAUUUCUGUAGAUCUGUUAUGUAUUCAUUUUCUAUAUUUAUUUACAAGAAUGUUGAUUUGCCAUUCAUGUUGCGAUUACUGUAAUGGAUGUUGUGAUAAAUAUUUUUUUCAAAUUUUCGUUUGAAUCUUGUUCUUUUUGGCUUCCUGAUUUAGAAAACCUGCUUGGUAUGCUUGGCCAAGAUGCAAUCAGUUUUUUCCGGUUUUUUCUUUCAAUUAACCGAACCGAACCGAAAAUGGUCGGUUUGAACCGGUUUCGAUUCGGUUUCGGUUUUCAUUUAAAAAUAAAUAAAUAAAUUGGUUUGGUUAGUUUUUUUGGUGAAAACCGGACCGAACUGGAAAUGCUCACCCCUAGGUGCAACCAUUGUUUUCUUGUUUCAAGCAGGAAAUUUUUUUUGCCUAACAAAAACAUAUGUACCUCCUUUUGUUUCCACCAAAGACAAAAAAAAUAGUUGGGAUACUGACUCGAAACAUGCAUUUAUAUGAUCAUAAAUAAUAAAUGGUAGUCCAAAUCAUUAAAUAAAUGAGUUUUAGCUUAUGUUUUAAUUUAAUUUAUUUGAACUUUUAGUUGAAAUGUAUUAAUUAGAUAUUAUUUGUUGGGUUUGAUUUAAUUAUUGUUAGGUAUUUUAUUUAGUGGACUAUACACUUAAUUGUUUGUUCUAGUUUGGGUUUCAGUAUUUGAUAAGCUUUUUCUUCUCUUUAGUUGGCUUCCCUUUCUUUUCUCUCUUCUUUAACUUUAAAUCUCUUUUGUCUUGUAUCAAAUUUGGUAUUAGAUUAUUGUUCUUGGUGGGAUUAGAGUUUUUUCUUGAUAAAUGGUAGUCAAAUUUGGUAUUAGAGCGCAAGUACAAAACUAGUUACAUGGUAUAGUCAAACCACCUCCUAUAACAAAAUUAAGGGUGUGCUUGGGAAGGCGGUACAAAUCGUGUUCCCUCAAAUUUUAAAUUUUUUUUUAUUUUUGCUUUUUUAUAGUUUUUGAUCAUUUUGAUGUGUUGAUGUCAAAAAUAAUUUUAAAAAACUAAAAAACUUUUAUUUUACUACAUUUCUAAACAAAACAUCCUUUGAAUUGUCACUGCUAACAUAAUUUCAAACACAUUCUAAGGAUGCGUUUGUUUCCUAGAAAGUGGUUUUUUAAAAAAACAAUUUUUCAAACUUUCCUGUGUUUAUUUACCAUUACGAAAGUUGGUCAAUGAAAAAUACUUUUCGGUCAACGAAAAACACUUUCAUGUCAAAGGAAAAUUUAACUUGAUUUCUAGGAAAGUAUUUUCCUUUUAUUUUGGGUGGAAAACACUUUCUAAAAGUUGUGAAAAAUAUAAAAAUAUCAUAUUAUUUGCUGAUUAUGUCAAAUUUGGUCCUCAAACUUUUGAUUGUUAUAUAUUUUGUUCGAAUUUUUUUUCUUUCAAAUUCAUCCCUUAAAAUUUGAUUUAAUUUAAUUUUUAUAUUCACUUUGAUCCUUUUUUUUUAUGAUUGUUAUUUACUUUUCUCUUAUUAUUUUUAAAAUUGAAUUUUUUUUAUCUGUCAAAUUUGAUCUUCAUUCUUUUGAUUGUUACUUAUUUUAUUUAAAAUAAUUAAUAAAAUUAUAAUAAUUAUUAUUUUAAUUUCAUCAUCUUUCAAUUUUUUUAUCUGUUAAAUUUGAUCUCUAUUAUUUUAAUUAUUAUUUAUUUUAUUUGAGAUCAUUUAUGAACUUAAUUUUUUUUUAAUUCUAUUCUCAUUCAACUUUUUAGUUUAUAAAAUUUGUUUCUUAUUAUUUUAAUAAACUUGAAAUAAAAUAAAACAUUAAAAAGCUAUUUUCCGGCUCAUUUUCUAUAAUAUAACCAAACACUGAAAAGUGUUUUCCAAUUUUCUUUGCAUGAUACUACCAAAUAUUAAAAAAUAAUUAAUUUCUUGGAAUUCAUUUCUAAAAAAACUAUAUUUAAAAAAAAAACUAUUUUUCUACCAACAAACGAAGCCUAUGUAAACUAAGUAAACGACAACGUUUGAUAUCCCUAUAUCGGAAAGGGGUCAGCCAUUCUCUUGGCACGGACUCGAGCUUAGGACAAUUCGAGAUAAUCAAUCGGCGAAGAGAGGUGAGGUGCUGCAGCCCCAUUACAGAUUUCAGAUUUAUCAGACCUGAUAUUUGAAGAGAUACAAGGGAGGAGGGCAGCUUCUCUCCUGGCAUGGACUCGAGCUUAGGAGAACUACAGAUAUGUAAUUUACGAAGAGAGGUGAGGUGCUGAAACCCCUUAUAUUCCAGAUCUUCCAAAUCCCAGAUUUCAAGGUCUUCAAGGGAGGAGGGAAGGGUGCCUUCUUGAAGGGACUCAAGCUUAAGGCUCCUCCUUAUCUUCAUUUUGCGAAGAGAGGUGAGGUGCCGAAGCUCCUUGUAGUCCCGGUCUUGCUGAUUCCAUAAUUGAAGGAUUUCAAGGGAGGAAGGCAGCCCCUGCAACGAUUCAAGUUUAGGACAAUUCCCGAUCUUCAAAUUGUGAAGAGAGGUGAGGUGCUGAAGCCCAAUGUAGUCCAGAGAUUCCAGUUUACAGAGAUAAAGGCAUUCAAGGGAGGAGGGCAGCGCCUGUUCUGGAUAUGUGCUCAAGUUUAGGGUAACUCUCAAUACUCAAAUUUCUAAGAGAGGUGAGGUGAUGAAGCCCCUGGUAUUCAAGGGAGGAGGGCAGCACCUGUUCUGAUAUGAACUCAACUUUAGGGCAACUCUUGAUCUUCAAUGUGUCAAGAGAGGUGAGGUGAUGAAGCCCCAUGUAGUCCAGAGAUUCUAGAUUUCUGAGAUAAGGUAUUCAAGGGAGGAGGGAAGCGCCUGCUCUGAUAUGGACUCAAGCUUAGGGCAACCCUCGAUACUCAAUCUCUGAAGAGAUGUGAGGUGAUGAAGCUCCUUAUAGUCCAGAGAUUUCAGGUUUUCCAGACGAUUGAUUUCAAGGGUUGUAAGAGUAGAGGGCAACGUCUCCUCGUCAAAAGACUCCACAUCGUUCCCAGUAAAUAUGAAGCAUGAAAGAGAAGGGAGUGCUUGCAAACCACAUACCUUGAGUUUGAUACAAUCCACAAUGCAAAGUGUGUUUAAUUUGGAGGGUAAACCUCCUUCAGGAAACGAAUCAACUUCUGGAAGUGAGAUCAAUUGCAAAUCUGUAGGGAAGGGAGGAGGGAAUGCAUGUUUUCCGGCAACGACUUCAAAUAUGAGCAACCCUCUAACACAAGCCUUGUCAAAUCUGGGGCAGCUAGUCCUCCUUUGGGGAAAGACACCAAAUUAGGACAGUGACUGAUUGUCAGAUGACAGAGAGCAGGGACAGGUCUCUCGCCUAUACAAAGGGAUUCCAGAUUGAGACAAUGUUCAAUGGUAAGUGUGGAUACCUGGGGUAAAAGGUCUAGCUGGCAGCACUUAAAUGAACUACAUCUCUCGAUUUUGAUAAAAGUGAAAGAAGAGGGAUCCAAACGACUCAUUUGCUCCAUUCCCUUUAGCUGGGGAUCUUGUCUAAAAUGGAGGCACGGCGUGGAUGGUUGAUCUGAUAACCCAAACUGUCCUGUUAGCCCAUUUAUACGUCUUUCAUCGCCCUCAGAUACAUUGAUUACGCCGAGCAUGGGUGCCUCUGGAAUUGAAACCACAAGCUGUGGACAUUCUUGAAUAAAAGCUUCCAUAAACAAGGAAGGUGACUAGGCAAGGCAUUUGUUAACUUGGGGCAAUGUCUUAUGCGGAGCUCUGCAAGAUGAGGGAAAGCACCAGCUACAUCUGUUUUCCAUUCCUGCCAUUUUCGCAUCCCCUCAAACUUUAAUAUUUUGAGGGAUUUAAAUGGCUUCUCCAUCGAAGGGUCACUUCCAUAGAACUCAGAACCAACUGCCACGACUUCAUCAAAUCCUUCAAUAUGGAGCUCUUCUAGAGAUGGCAGCUGCCCCAAUGGUGGUAAGAGGAUGCAGUUCUUACAUCCAUAAAGAAACAACACUACCAUAUUUGAGAAAGAAGAGUUUCCAAGCCAGCCUGGAAACGUUGUACCCCGUAACCAGUAAUGGCAAGCUGUUUCACAUUUUCAGAAGGCUCCAAUUUCUCAAGUACUUCUCUCUCGUGUGGUGUGUCAUCCGUAUUGCCAUCCCACGUCAACCCCAACUCCUCAAUCUUCUUCUUACCCUUCAAAUCGGCAUCCAAAGCAUCUUGAGCAUUUGCAACAUCUCUGAGAUUCCGAAUAGAAAGUUUUUUCCUUAUAUGUGAGAGCUUCCCCAACUCUUUCAUGCUAGACCCGCUAUCUUUUCCCACGAUGUAAGAUUCCAAAAUUCGAAGCUUCGUGAGUUUCCCCAUUUUUGGUGGCAUCUCUUUCAAAUUUGUCCCUUCAAUAUCAAGAUGUUGUAAGUCGACCAAGUUGGAAAGGUUGGAUGGCAACUCCAUGAGAUGUCGGCACUCUUUAACAAUAAGCUUUGCAAAUAGUACAAGGUGCACACACUUUCAGGUAACCUUUCAAUGGCGGUGCAAGAAAGGUCCAAGUGCCGCAAAUGUUUUCAAGUUGCCAAUGGAAUUGAGCAACUGAGAAGAAAUAUCUUUUAGAUGAAUAAAGAUAGCAUUCGCAAGCGCUUAAGAUUUGGCAAGAUGUCAUUCAGUGCCUCAUAUCACUUCCCUUAAAAACAUAGUGGAAACAAGGCGCGCAAAUGUUGGACUCCAUGAAUGCUACGAAAUAUCCGAAGUCCUCGUCAUAUGCUCCUGAAGUGAUUGAUAAAUAACGAGUCCUUUCUGGAAGCGAGCAUGAAUGUUCACCCUCCAACCCAGAGCCCGAUUCAUUAAUACCAAGCUUAAAGCAAAAUUCUCCUGACACGUAUUCAGCUAAAUCACUUAUGAUGUCAUGCAUGCUGAAAUCUGAUUGAACAUGAAGUGAUUGCUGGAAAAGUGACCUGGAGACAAGAUCAUCAAAGUAUUUUUCACCUAUAUCUUCCAUCUCCUCAACUCCUCUGGACUGGCCUAAAAAACCAUGUGCCAUCCAUUCAGUGAUUAAUCCAUUUUUCUUGAAUACAUAACUCUUGGGAAAUAUUGCACAAUAAACAAAACAACGUUUCAGGUGUGAAGGGAGAUAAUAAUAGCUCAAUGUUAGAGCUGGAGGGAUGUUUUCAUUCGACAAUCCCCACAAACUGCUAUUGGAUAUCUUCUCCCAUUGCCUGACAUCUCCUACGGAGUGCAAAAGACCCCCAAGAGUUUUCGCUGCCAGCGGUAAACCUUUGCACUUUCUCGCUAUUUCUCUGCCAAAUGCUUCCAAGUGUGAGACUGCUCCAGAAUUUACACCACUAAAUGCAUCCCUUGCAAACAAUUUCCAGCAAUCUUCAUCGCUUAUUACAUCCAAGCGGUGAGAGGGGAUGACUGUUUGCGUGACUUUUGCUACAUCUUCAUUCCGUGUUGUCACGACAAUCUUACUUCCGUGCUCCACAUACAGCAAAGGUAGCAGUAGUUUAUCCCAUUCAUUGUACUUAAUGUUCCACGCGUCAUCUAGAACAAGUAGAAGUUUCUUCCCUUUCACUGCCUCCAUUAGAGAUUCAUCUGGUUCUUUGGUGCGGCAAGUACUUGCGUUGAUCUUAUCAAGAAUAUCCUUAAUAAUCCUGGCAACAUCAAAUUGUUGGAAGCCCAGACCCAGGCUUUGAGCUCGAAGCACUCAUCUAUCGUUGUAGAUAAGCUGAGCAAGAGUGGUUUUACCAAUCCCGCCCAUGCCCACAAUGGAACGCACAACUAAAUUUGAGCCAUCUGUGUUGUGUUGUGUCAACAAGUGCUCCAUUAUGGCUUCCUUAUCAGCGUCCCUUCCAUAUACAUAGAGAUUCAUUAACCAGUGGAGUUGUUUUCUCUGACAAUGGUCUCCAUCCACCAGUACCUUCUAUGUGGCGCAGAUCACCCUUGUGUUUAAGUAAACGUUCAAGCUUCUCAAGGAUCUUUUGUAACUCUGCUUCCAUCUCUUUCAUCCUUCUAUUAGCUGGAUUUAGAAAUGGAAACCGAUCCUUACCUGCAAUGGUGGACUAAAUAUGUGAGAUAGAAUUCAGGAAAACAUUAUAAUUUAUAAUAUCAAAACAUAAACAUUAAGAUUUUUACAUCUAGUGAAUUAAUAAGUUAAUACCAUUAAAUUGUUGAUGCUAUAAACAUUAAGAUUUUUACAUCUAGUGAAUUAAUAAGUUAAUGCCAUUAAAUUGUUGAUGCUAGCUUAACGUAAUUAAGCAGUGAAAGUCAAGUUUUAAAAAGAUAUUGAUUCAAUGCCAUAAGUGAUUUUCAUAGCCCUUACUAUAUAAUAUUAUUUAUAUAUAUAUAAUGAAAUUAAUUUUUUUUCUAAAAUAAAAAUGGAAAAAUAAUUGUUUAGCAAUUAAAAAGUAAAGUAUUUAUUUUUCAUAUUUAAAAUAAAGAUAUGAGCCUUUCAUGUAUAAAACAUCAUUCCAAUUUCUAAUUGUGCUAACAAAAAAUCAAUGCAUAAUUCUUGGUGAUUAUUAUAUAUAAUUACUAAGAAAUUUAAUAUUUAUAAUAAUGGGUUUUGAAUCUCGUAAGUCCUAACUAUUCAUCACUAAAAAUAUUGAAAGACAAUUCAAUUUUAUAUCCCUUAUAUUUUCAUAAAAAAGUAAGAGUCAUUCAUGUUCUCAUAAAAAUAUAUAUAAUUUAAUUGACAAAAUUUAUAUAAAUAAUUCAGAUUUUAAAAAUAUAGCAUUUUGGAUUUUAAAAAAAACAAACAAACAAAUAGAGGGAUCAAUACAAACAUUUUAUGAGGAAGCAAGGUCUCUAGGUGCAAGAACUUAUGCUUACCCAAUUGCUGUCAGGUCGAGGGGCAUCAAUGUCCUUGGAUCGUAGAUAUUCAUAAUCAAUCUCCUCCGAUAUGUCCUCAGCUUCAUAGACAGCGUGUUUAACAUCAUUAAGCCACUUCUUCACAGCACGAUUUGUAAUCUGCUUCUCCUCCGCAUCGUCGAGUAGUCCGUUGACAGUAUUCAGUGUUUCAUUCAGCUUUUCCAGAAGACCAUCAUCGAGUUUGUGGCUUUGGAAGAAGCCCAGAACCUCACGAGAGGCCAACCUGUCGACCAGAACCUCAAUGAGAGCAGAGAGAAUUGAUCCUCCGAUCAACUCCAGAGACAUGGUGGAUUUUUGCAGAAGGGUGAGGGUGGGAAUAUGUGAGAGAAAAGGAGUUGUGGAAAGCAGGAGCCUUGGUGGAUUUUUGCUAAAGGGUGAGAGAGUGAUUAUGUGAGAGAGAAUGAUAAGCCAAAUAGAAAACCCGAGGAAGCCGGCUUCGAGUGUGUUUGUCCUUGACGCAGUGUAUGCGUUUUCUCUCAAUGUAUAGAAAUGAUGGGCCCACUGCCCAAGGUUGGAACUUGGAUAUGAAAAAGAUUUUUUUUUUUCUGCUUUUUACAUGCUGGAUCACAGGUUAAACCUUCUUGAUCUGCUAAAAAAAACAUUCAAAAAUUAUCUUUGCAUCCUUUUUCUUUCUCCUAUCAUUCAUUACAAUUGCUUGUCUUUCUUUGAACAAUACAAUUGCCCAGAAAAUUCUGGUUUUGCUAUCAACAUGAUACAAUAGCAAUGAACAAGUCUAUUUCAUUAAAAAUUCAGAUUUGUAAUUUACUCGUAAACUAGUCGACUUAUCAGGUCAACCUGAAACUUGAAUGACUCGGUAAAAUACUAGUAAAGACCAUUUUCUUCAAAUGUAUUUUUUUCUCCUAUCUAGGAACCUUUUAUAUAUUUUAUUUUUUUUAUUUAGUUACUCAUUUCAAAAUUCACUAUAUAAAUAUUAGAAGAAUAUUUUAUUUUUUUAAUGUGAUAUUUUGAAGCCCUUUAAUAUAUAUACUUUAUGUUCUUCAAAAAAAAAUUAUGUUUUUUCAAAUGUAGAAUAAAAAACCUUUUUUGUUUAAAUACUUCAACUUAAAAAAAUAAGAUAGUAUAUUUUCAAAGUAGAAUAAAAAAUCUUUUGAAAUAAUCUUUUAAACUUAAUUGCUUACAACAUGUAUAGCCUAUAUCCAUAUAGAUUAUUUUUUAUUUUUUUAUAUAAAAUAUUAAAACCUCAUAUUUUUUUAAUUUUUCCUGAUUGACCCGAGUCAACCCAUGUAAACUAGGACCUAGCCCCUUAGUCGGGUUAAUCCUUAGGCUGAGUUUGAUAACCAUGAUUGUCAUGAGAAUACAACUUUAAAAAUGCAAUUAAAAAGAAAUAAAGUGAUGUGAACAGUUAAAAAAUCAAAUAAAUAGAUAAAACCUUUUCUUUUUUAUUUUAUUAAGGGCCUCUUUUAAUUAUUUUUUUUAUUAUGUGUUUAGAGAUAAAUUUAUGGACACUAAAAUCAACAUUUUUUAUUCUUGAAAUACAACUCACCAAAAUACCUUUUUAUAUAUAUCUAACGACUUUCUAUUUAUACUCAUGACAUCAAAAAAUUGAAAUACGAGGAGAAUGAAGUUUUAGAAUUAAAUAUAAAUAGCUAAAACUACAAGAAUAAAAGAAAAAACUUUAGGAACCCAAAUGAACUUUUAUGAGAAUUUCAAGGAUCAAAACUCAAUAUUCAGAUAGUAAAACGAGUGGGAAAUGAAGUUUAAAACUAAAAUGUAAACACAUAAAACUACUAGGAUUAAAAAUAUUUUUUUAAAAAACUUCAUUUGGUAUUACUCUUAGAACGUAAUUGGUACAAGGCUUAAAAAUAUGGGUGAAAUUAUCACAUAAAUAAUAAUUAUUAUUAUAAGAGCAAAUUUAAAAAGUGUAAAUGUUGGUUUUUAAAAAUGACUGAUGUAUUUGAACAGUUAAAUACUUGUGAAAAAAAGAGAGAAUAAUUUAAUAAUUAACUUCAACUUUUCCAUUAAUUAAUUAAGAUCUAAAAAAUCCAAAAAUUAUAAGUUUCUAAUAUAAAGUUAAAAAAUUUACAUAUAUAUAAAAAAGAUAUUUCAUAAAAUUCUAUUUUUUUUUAAUAAUUCACAGAAACUCAAUGCAAGACUUCAUAUGUUGAAUCUUCUCAUUAUCAACACUUUCAAAUAUAUCUUUUUUGAUAUAAGUAACCAAACAAUCAUUAAAUAAAUUAUCCCCAACUCGAUUGUGUAAUCGACUUUUGACUAAUUUCAACGUUGAAAAUAUUCUCUUUACUGAUGCAAUAACCACGCGUAAAAUUAAUGCUAAAUUUAUCACGUAAUAUAUGUUAUUUAUUAAAUUUAUUACUUAUAUAUUAAAAUGUAUGGGAUUUUCACCGUGUAUUUGUUAUUAUACAAUUUUUUUUUUCAGUUUAUCCAUGACAACUAGAGUGCCGAGCUCAAAAUGCUAGGGUCUGACAUAGUACCCGACCUAAUUACCAAACCCUAGAUUUGGUAACUAUGCAAGACCCAAGCAUCCCUUGCAAACAACUCCCAGCAAUAUUCAUAGCUUAUUGCAUUCAAGCGGUGAAAGGGGAUGACAGUUUGCGUGACUUUUGCUACAUCUUCUUCCCGUGUUGUCACGACAAUCUUACUUCCGUGCUCCACAUACCGCAAAGGUAGCAGUAGUUUAUCCCAUUCAUUGUACUUGAUGUUCCACGCGUCAUCUAGAACAGGUAGAAGUUUUUUCCCUUUCACUGCCUCCAUUAGAGAUUCAUCUGGUUCUUUGGUGCGGCAUGUACUUGCG